rnacentral:rRNA from 1 species
CCUACGGGUGGCAGCAGUAGGGAAUCUUCCACAAUGGGCGAAAGCCUGAUGCAGCAACGCCGCGUGGGUGAAGAAGGCCUUCGGAUCGUAAAACCCUGUUGUUAGAGAAGAAAGUGCGUGAGUGUAUCUGCUCACGUUUCGACGGUAUCUAACCAGAAAGCCCCGGCUAACUACGUGCCAGCAGCCGCGGUAAUACGGAGGUGGCAAGCGUUAUCCGGAAUUAUUGGGCGUAAAGGGAACGCAGGCGGGCGUUUAAGUCUGAUGUGAAAGCCUUCGGCUUAACCGGGGUAGUGCAUUGGAAACUGGGGGACUUGAGUGCAGAAGAGGAGAGUGGAACUCCAGGUGUAGCGGUGAAAUGCGUAGAUAUGUGGAAGAACACCAGUGGCGAAGGCGGCUCUCUGGUCUGUAACUGACGCUGAGGUUCGAAAGCGUGGGUAGCAAACAGGAUUAGAUACCCCUGUAGUC